UAAACAGACGACUUUUUUUUAUUUUUGAAGAAAAUGAAGAAAAUAAGUUAAAAUGUAUAUGUUAAGAAACACAUAAUACUAAUAAAACAAAGUAAGAGAUGCGAACGGGUUUUUUUUCGCGCCUAAAGCCAAUUAGCUGUGAAAUAUAUACUAAAAUAGGUGAAUAUUUAGGACAUUUCACGAACAGAUCGUGCAGGUGUUUUAUAACUAACAGGUAAGAUGUUGUUGCAGAAAAAAUAUUCAUUUCAACACAAUUAUUAAAGUUGUAUAACGUAGAAUAGGUUUUGUCAUUCAGUUUCUUCAUAUUGAACUGAAUUCCACUAUGAUGCUUUCUUUAUGCGAGUCAUGUUUACUGUCGAAUAAUGAUACUAUUCUUUCAUUUUCACUGUAGAGCGAGUCAUUAGUAUUGUAUAUGCGGAGCAUUUUCACUGUAUGAUUUUUUUUUUAUCUAUUACAGCGUAUUUUUUUAAGCAUGUAAAGCAAGACUUUAGUUAGCGUGCUUGCUUUGCUUUUUUUUUAUUGUACAAUCAUUAUGAU
rnacentral:lncRNA from 1 species